UUACUAACUACCCUGACGGCAGCCUCAGC
rnacentral:sRNA from 1 species